AGCGAACGCUGGCGGCAGGCCUAACACAUGCAAGUCGAACGAACUCUUCGGAGUUAGUGGCGGACGGGUGAGUAACACGUGGGAACGUGCCUUUUGGUUCGGAAUAACUCAGGGAAACUUGUGCUAAUACCGAAUGUGCCCUUCGGGGGAAAGAUUUAUCGCCAUUAGAGCGGCCCGCGUCUGAUUAGCAAGUUGGUGAGGUAACGGCUCACCAAGGCGACGAUCAGUAGCUGGUCUGAGAGGAUGACCAGCCACACUGGGACUGAGACACGGCCCAGACUCCGACGGGAGGCAGCAGUGGGGAAUCUAGCGCAAUGGGCGAAAGCCUGACGCAGCCAUGCCGCGUAAAUGAUGAAGGUCGUAGGAUUGUAAAAUUCUUUCACCGGGGACGAUAAUGACGGUACCCGGAGAAGAAGCCCCGGCUAACUUCGUG
rnacentral:rRNA from 1 species